GUUGUAUUGGUGAGAGCUGAUGGCUUUGCUCUCAGAUGAGGCCGGUGCCAGAAUCAUUAUUUUAUGCCUCGGCAGAUGGCUUCUGCUCAGGGGUUUUAUCUCUGAGUGCAGACAUACGACUAAUCAUCAUUUGCUUUCUCUUUCUCUGCUAACGUAAGCUGGGCAGGAAGCAAUUGCCAGUUUGAUGAUGGUUCAUUAUUGCUAGGUUUGUUCUGUCUGAAACUGCACAGCAAGAGGCAAAGAGGGGACAGAGGAGGAGAACCAACCCAUUAUCAGUGAGAUACAUGGAAAGCUUGGUGCAGGAGCCUACUUUCCACCUGCCUGUCUCUCUUUCAGAGGCAAUGCCUCAAUCCCAUGGUCAAUUCAGCUGACAUCUUUGGGAUGUAAAGACUGCAAAGAGCAAAUGUUGGGGAUGCAUCUAUCCUGCCUUACAUCAGGAUGGUUAGUCUGGAUAACAAGCACCUGAGGACACUCUGGCAAAGGGUGCAAACAGAAUCAUCACCAGUUUUGCAGCACUGCUGUUCUGCAUAUGGUCCUCACAGAUACUUUGGUUGUUAGCAGGGCCAACCCAGGGGAGCUCAGGUGCUUGCAAUGAACCUGAUUGACUAGAAUGGAUGGAGCCAGGAUCCACCCCUUCCCAGCCCUCAUUUAAGGACUGGCAGUGAAGGUAAAGGAAGGAGGGGGAGAAGUGGAUCUGUUAGAGAUCCCUGUGUGCCUGAGUCCUUUCAGAGCAUUUCAGUGGUGGUUUUCAGAUUUUCUUGCUUCCAGCUCCAUUUGAAUGCAGACUCAGGAUACAAGUGCCAGCAGAGGCCUGGUGUAGGCUCUGCUCAUCUUUCACCAGCGCAUGGAACAUCCUUUCAGGAACGAAUUCAAAGCCCGGAGGAAGCUGCUUGCUGAGAAUCACACAGAAGCAGCCACCAAAGGCUGCAGCCUGAGACUGUGCUUCCAACCCCACGGGCACUGUUUGCUUUUCAAAACCCUAAUUUAAUGUAGAAGAGUCUGGUUGCUUUUGUUUGUGAUUGCACAUUCUCCUUUUAAUCCUGUCCUGUGUGUGGCACAUGGAGUCCCCCAGCAGCACAGCGGGGCCUGAUGAGUUGCAGCACUCAAGGAUCCACCCAGAGCUUGGUUGUUUUCGACUGAAAGGCAGCUCAGAGCUCCGCUGCACAUAGCAGCUUUCAGGGGCCACCAGCAAUGAAAUGGGAGCAGACGCACAGGAACCUUUAGGCUCCAGCUGCCCGGGCAGGAUGAUGAGCAGGAGCCCCGUGUGCCCCACAGGGGCCACUUCCACGGCUUGGGAGAGCAGAUGGGAACAAGGUUAAAUUAACAACUGGAAUAAUACAUCAUCUGCUUUAGUUCUGAAGGGGUCCAUCAGCCAAGGGAAGAAGAGGAUGUGCUGGAAGAGCAGGAGAGCUGCCCUCGAUCCCACUGGCGGUGCCUGCAUCAAUUCCUACUUGGCCACUCAGACUUCACAGGCCUUAAAAUAAGAAGAAACGGGCUCAGACUGAAUUGGCAGAUGGUGGUUUCACCAAAAAAGGAGAACAGAGCCCUUACAGCAGCUCGGUCCCAUCCAGCAACGUGCAAACAGGCAGAUAUUACAAGUGAGCCAAUUAAAUCUGGGAAACUGCUGAGGACAAGGACUGUCCCGGUGCUGUGGAUGGUCCCUGCUGUGAGAGGUCCCAUCUCAGCUCUGCGUGGCAUUGCUGCGCCUUCUGCUGCUCCCAUUGAUUCCAAAGGCUGAGUGCUGCUGGACGCAGGCGCUGAGCACCCAUGGGUGGCAGCCGAAGGGCCGGGCACGGCUCCCUCGGGCUCGUGCUGUGGCUCAGGGCUCGUUGUGCUGCUGGG